rnacentral:rRNA from 1 species
AGUGAACGCUGGCGGUAGGCCUAACACAUGCAAGUCGAACGGCAGCACAGUAAGAGCUUGCUCUUACGGGUGGCGAGUGGCGGACGGGUGAGGAAUACAUCGGAAUCUACUUUUUCGUGGGGGAUAACGUAGGGAAACUUACGCUAAUACCGCAUACGACCUACGGGUGAAAUCAGGGGAUCUUCGGACCUUGCGCGAUUGAAUGAGCCGAUGUCGGAUUAGCUAGUUGGCGGGGUAAAGGCCCACCAAGGCGACGAUACGUAGCUGGUCUGAGAGGAUGAUCAGCCACACUGGAACUGAGACACGGUCCAGACUCCUACGGGAGGCAGCAGUGGGGAAUAUUGGACAAUGGGCGCAAGCCUGAUCCAGCCAUACCGCGUGGGUGAAGAAGGCCUUCGGGUUGUAAAGCCCUUUUGUUGGGAAAGAAAAGCAGCAGGUUAAUACCCCGCUGUUCUGACGGUACCCAAAGAAUAAGCACCGGCUAACUUCGUG